rnacentral:rRNA from 1 species
UGCGUAGGCGGUCUCGCAAGUCUGGCGUGAAAGCCCACGGCUCAGCCGUGGAAGUGCGCUCGAAACGGCGAGGCUGGAGUGCCGGAGGGGAGAGUGGAAUUCCCGGUGUAGCGGUGAAAUGCGUAGAGAUCGGGAGGAAUACCGGUGGCGAAAGCGACUCUCUGGACGGCAACUGACGCUGAGGCACGAAAGCGUGGGGAGCAAACA